GACGAACGCUGGCGGCGUGCUUAACACAUGCAAGUCGAACGGAAAGACCCUGCUUUUGUGGGGUGCUCGAGUGGCGAACGGGUGAGUAACACGUGAGUAACCUGCCCUUGACUUUGGGAUAACUUCAGGAAACUGGGGCUAAUACCGGAUAGGAGCUCCUGCUGCAUGGUGGGGGUUGGAAAGUUUCGGCGGUUGGGGAUGGACUCGCGGCUUAUCAGCUUGUUGGUGGGGUAGUGGCUUACCAAGGCUUUGACGGGUAGCCGGCCUGAGAGGGUGACCGGCCACAUUGGGACGGGGAUACGGCCCAGACCACUACGGGAGGCAGCAGGGGGGAAUAGUGCACAAUGGGCGGAAGCCUGAUGCAGCAACGCCGCGUGCGGGAUGACGGCCUUCGGGUUGUAAACCGCUUUCGCCUGUGACGAAGCGUGAGUGACGGUAAUGGGGAAAGAAGCACCGGCUAACUACGU
rnacentral:rRNA from 1 species